GGGGCUUCCGUGUCGGGGGGGAGGAAGGGGGGAGGGCGAAGGGCGGCGCUGCCCCAUAACUGCCCCAUAGAUACCCCAUUGCUGCCCCAUAAGUGCCCCAUAGAUACCCCAUUGCUGCCCCAUAAGUGCCCCAUAGAUACCCCAUAGCUGCCCUAUAGUAGCCCCAUAACUGCCCCAUAGAUACCCCAUAGCUGCCCCAUAGCUGCCCCAUAACAGCCCCAUAGAUGCCCCAUAGAUACCCCAUAGCUGCCCCAUAAGUGCCCCAUAGCUGCCCCACAGAUACCCCAUAGCUGCCCCAUAGCAGCCCCAUAACUGCCCCAUA
ensembl:lncRNA